ensembl:snRNA U7 U7 small nuclear RNA
GAAAAUUUGCUCUUUUAUUAUUUGACCAGUAGGUUUCCUUAAGGAGAAAGCCCCC